CUAUAUUUUUAUCCAUUUCUAUAUGAUCUUCAGACACAAAUUAUUUAACUCAUGCAUACAAGUGGCAUAUUCCACAGUUAGAUUCAGGGCAUUUCAUGGUUCUGUUAGUUAUCACUGUCUCAUUUCACUGGUUGGAAGAUCAUGGACAGAAGAUGGGAAGUCCAGCCCUGCCUCUACCCUGUGGAUUAAAUUACAGCAUGGGCUGUCUGGUGCCUUUUCCAUGAAAUUUGAUUGUUUAAUGCCUAGAACAGGAAACAUCUGGAAUGAUAGGGGGCCAGUAUGAUCUUCCCUUCAUAAGGACUGGAUUUUCUCUUUUUUUCACUUUAGCCUGGGGAAAUAGGACAACGUCAAGGUGGGCAAAAAUCUGAAUCUCAUCCACCUAUUCUGUUGAUGUUUUCCAGCUUCUCCUCUGAGAUAUGCCAAGGGGCUUAGCGGAAAUUCUAGCCUCUUGAACCAACUGAUCUUAUAUUUAUUUAUAAGGUAGGUACACAGGGAAGUAAGAAAACGUUUUCUCUCUGGGAUUAUGCUUGCAAUAUGUAACAGAAAUGUCAGAG